ACAUGAUCAGAAAGUGAGGGAGAAGGUAUAGUUGUAACUAAUGCCCAGGACUGAACAACAAUGCUUUCCAUAAUACAGAGGUAUCCUAUGGUAUCCUGGUCCAAAAAGCUAUUAUGGUGAUAUUGCACCUUAAUGUUUCCUACAUGAAUUCUAUAUACUAAAAUUGAGUUGUUGGAAUGGCUGUUGUUUUUCUACCUGGAGGUGAGGGGUAUAAAAAAAUAUAGUUUUCAUCUCAUAAUAAGCAGAAUAUUCCUGCAUAUUAUAGAUACCUUAAAGAAUUUGGUGCAUAUCUUCCCAUAAGAUGGACCAGAUGGGAAUGCAGUGAUAAAGUUCAUCCUAGGGCAGGGCAGGACAAGUGAAAUGUGAAGUGAAACACUACCCAGAGUCCAGAUUCUUGAUUCUGUAAUCUUCGGGUUGUUGGUUUGGGUCACAAUCUCUAGAACCAGUGCUGUCUGCUUUGGGGACAGUAGACAACAUUCUUAGGCAGCUGCUGGAGUCUCUUAGAGCAAUCAUUACAAUAGUCCUUGGCCCUCUAAAAAGAUCACUAGGCAAACAACAUGCCAUUCCUGUUGUUUGCAGGUGAACACAGUAUUUGCUGUUGGCAGUGCUUUGGAAGACAAUUCUAUUUCCAUAGCGUUGUGUGAAAGAGAAUAAAAAUGUCCAUGUUUUUGGGUCAAUGGUCAUUCUUUUACAGAUGCUCUCCAUGCCUUCCAGGAGUAAAAUGCAUGGGAGAAGAGGGAAUGAAAAUGGUUUCUGCUCUGAGCUGCAGAUGCCCACAUGAAACCUUAAGGAGAAAGCCACCAUAAUGGAAUAGAGGUUAGCACUAACAAGACCUAGGCUGGGAGAACUUUGGGGAGACAGGCCUCAGUAGCCAGGAAGGCUUCAUUUCACCAGUUAAUCAAAGCAGAUCCUUCAUUCCUUAAUGUUUUGAUCCUGGAUUUAUUUAAAUUGAAGCCUAACUCUUGGUGGCUAUCACCCAUCACUUUCUUGUUUCUCCACUUCCUUUGGCUGCAGAAGCUGAGUUUGAUCUCUGUUGACUAUAUAAUGGUAGUGAUCCAUGUACUUAAUAUCUGCCCCCCCCAUGCACAUUUUGAACUUGGGUAGAAAUAAAAGCCAAAGGCUUCUCUAGUCCCCAGAGCAUCAAAUAUGUAUCUUGGUGAAUGACAAGUUAUCCUAGAGCUUCCAGGUCUUUAAAUUCAAUGCUCCUCCUCCAGAUUUUUCAUACCUUCUUCAGAGAUAAGUACUGCUGGUGGCUUGGUUUCUUCUCAGCUGCAUGUAGCAAAUAGAGGAACUAUGGUUUUCAAAAUGGUGCUUCUGUUAUGAGUUUUUUGUCAUGUUUUAGAAUAGGAUCUUUCUUUACAAAAAGUAGGAGCAUCCCACUCUCUUCUUCAAGAUCGUUUACAAGUUUUUUUAAGUGUAUCAUAUACACAAAACCAUGAACAAAGGUAACUGGGGCUUAUAUUCUACUAGGCCGUAUCCAAGCCUGUUGAAAUGGCUUUGUAGAAACCAAGAGAUUUUUGGCAGACCAGAAUUAGGCCUUUUGUGGGAGGGCUUCUCCCUACCUUGACUUGGUAGGAAGAAGAAUUGCGAAGACAUCAGAUUCAUUGGGAACAGUGUAGUGCGUGUAGAAUGGAAAAUUACUGGACAGGACAGAAUGGUUUCCAUUGACCUUCUCCUCUAGUGGUACUGUAAUUCCAAGGUGCUAGACUGCUCUCAUUAUAUUUCUAGACCUUUGUGUAGAAUUAUACAUAAUAAAAUUCUGAAGGGUUCUAAAAUUAAUCUGUCAGGUCCAAACCAGAAAUUUCACAUGCUUCCUAUAUACAUUUUUACACUUUAAUAUUCAUAUUGAAAAUACCAAACUGGUUACAUUUAAGAAGUACACAUUUUCUUUGAAAUUUUAUCAAUUUAUAUGUCAUUUUCUGACUGAAUUCAGGCACUUUUUAAAAGUUAACUAUCAGAUUUUACUCAAACAAGUGCUAUGGCAUGCCCUAGAGCAGGAUUGCUGUCAGUGAAGACUCGAGUUCUUCACUAAACAACAUUUCCCAAUUUUUUUUUUUUCCAGUUUCUUGUGACCACUAACCUGGAAUAAAAAAUAAUAUAUAUUUUUGGUAUGGAUAUACCUUUGAGGAUGUUAAUAAUUCCAGUGUGUCUCUAGAGAUGAGCAAAUUCCAGAAAAUAGCAUUUGUCCACUGUAAAAUUGUGAAUGUCACUAAAUAGGAAAUUUAGGUUGCGUAAUAGGUUGGCUUUAGAACUAGUUUCAGAGCUUUAUUGAUUUAGAUAUCACUUGUCAUAUUUUCAGCUGCUCUUGGUCACCAUUACUUGCUUUUCAUUGGCUCAUUGGGAAUAAUCAAUCAUGGUCUGUGUCAUGCUGGUUAUGACACACUUCCAAGUUCAAAGGCAGCAUAAAUCAAUGAAUAUUUAUGGAAAAAUGGGAUGUUGAACUAGUUGUGUGGUGGACCUGUUCCAGCAUGGCUCUUCUUAUGCUCUGGGCUUCAGAUGCUGAAGAAAAAUGUCAAAGAUUCUGAGACCUAAACGCCACAAAUCUUCCAGUUAUAUGUUCUGGCUCCAGCCAGCUCAUGGAAAUUCACACUUCCUCUUAUUGUCAGAUUAAUUUCUGGUUAUGAUUAUAGCAGAAGUGUUUGUCCAUUUUUAUUUUUAUUAUCCUGCCAUUGCUUUCUCUAAACAGUUCUGGAGUUUGUGGGGUAAGAGGCAUUAGAAAAUCCAUAGCUUCUAUUAUUUAGGGGAAGAGAGGACUAAAUCCAUUUAAUUCUAUGGUGUAUAAUAUCUAUGUCCCUAAGGAAAGCAAAUGAAAGACAGUGGAAGACGAUAGUCUUCCUCCUAUAAAUAUGGUGUGGGUAUGCGUGUUUGUGUGUAUGUGAACUCUUUAAGAAUCCUAGGAAUUGUAGUUUGGCAAGGAUACUGAGAAUUGUCAGUCAGAAGUUACUAUCCUUUCCUUGACACAAACAGCUGUUUCCCAAGUUUCCUUGGGGAGAAGAAACAGCUGUUCAACUAAUUUAGGUUUGUAGUUGUGUCCACCAAGCUCAACUGUUUUGUCUUUCCUAGACCCAAAAGCUUUGCAGAUGUGUGUAUAUUUGGGGUUCAAACAUUAAAUUAUUUAUGCACACACAUUUCCUGCCUAAUACACCCCUGAAUCGUUAUGUAAUUAUCGUUCAUAGAGGGAUAUCCUUCCUCUCCUUAGACUGAUAAAUGUGUCAGGGUUGAAGACUGAAAAAUAUAGGUAUCUACGUUCACUGGCUAAGAUGAGUUGUGAUUACAUUCCAAAGAAUUCUGAAAGCUGGAAUUUGGUGCUGAAGAGACUUGGACUUGCUGAAAGAGUUCCAGGAUAUCCUGAAUAUAAAAACAGGGAAUAUCCUACAAUAAAUCUGUAGCGCAAAUACAGAUUCAGCAGAGGGUCAAUUCCCUGAGAAUGAAUCGUAUUCAAUGUUUUUAAAGAUUUCUCCUACCCAAUUAUUCAUGGAUUGGUCUAUCAUGUUUCUCUGAGGCUUGCCUUAAACUUUUCACUUCCACAACAGUUGAGUCUUGUAAACUAUACAGCACUGAAGUCCUUUUUUGGUUGUGGUGAUAUUGGGGAGAGAAGGGCUUUUAAUUGUAUGUGGGUUUUUGAUAGUUCUUUUGCGAAAUAUACAGCAAAAGGAUGGAAAUGCCUAUGGUACUGGGUGCUUGGUGUAUACCAUGUAUACUAAAUGUCAAUUUCUGCUAUUUGUGUGUCGGUGGCAAACCUGAAAUAAAAAUGGUUAAAUAUUUAAA